rnacentral:rRNA from 1 species
GAUGAACGCUGGCGGCGUGCCUAAUACAUGCAAGUCGAGCGAACAGACGAGGAGCUUGCUCCUCUGACGUUAGCGGCGGACGGGUGAGCAACACGUGGAUAACCUACCUAUAAGACUGGGAUAACUUCGGGAAACCGGAGCUAAUACCGGAUAACAUGUUGAACCGCAUGGUUUAACAGUGAAAGACGGUCUUGCUGUCACUUAUAGAUGGAUCCGCGCCGCAUUAGCUAGUUGGUAAGGUAACGGCUUACCAAGGCAACGAUGCGUAGCCGACCUGAGAGGGUGAUCGGCCACACUGGAACUGAGACACGGUCCAGACUCCUACGGGAGGCAGCAGUAGGGAAUCUUCCGCAAUGGGCGAAAGCCUGACGGAGCAACGCCGCGUGAGUGAAGAAGGUCUUCGGAUCGUAAAACUCUGUUAUUAGGGAAGAACAAAUGUGUAGGUAACUAUGCACGUCUUGACGGUACCUAAUCAGAAAGCCACGGCUAACUACGUG